rnacentral:sRNA from 1 species
AGAUGCUUCUGGGUCGCGGUGUGCUAAGCGAGGAGUCCGAGUGUGUGAGCUUGAGAGCCGCGCGCUAGAGCGACCCGGCGAGGGAUGGCGGCCACCGGGACCGCGGCCGCCGCAGCCACGGGCAGGCUCCUGCUUCUGCUGCUGGUGGGGCUCACGGCGCCUGCCUUGGCGCUGGCCGGCUACAUCGAGAUGUAUCCAGAGCUACAGAUCACAAAUGUGAUGGAGGCAAACCAGCGGGUUAGUAUUGACAACUGGUGCCGGAGGGACAAAAAGCAAUGCAAGAGUCGCUUUGUUACACCUUUCAAGUGUCUCGUGGGUGAAUUUGUAAGUGAUGUCCUGCUAGUUCCAGAAAAGUGCCUGUUUUUCCACAAAGAGCGGAUGGAGGUGUGCGAGAAUCACCAGCACUGGCACAUGGUAGUCAAAGAGGCAUGUCUGACUCAGGGAAUGACCUUAUAUAGCUACGGCAUGCUGCUCCCAUGUGGGGUAGACCAGUUCCAUGGCACUGAAUAUGUGUGCUGCCCUCAGACAAAGAUUAUUGGAUCUGUGUCAAAAGAAGAGGAGGAGGAAGAGGAGGAGGAA